rnacentral:lncRNA from 1 species
CCAAACAACCACUAGGCCCAUUUGAACUUUCAAGAAGAUUCUCCAACUCUUUUGUUCUCACAAUAUCCGACCACCUUCGAACUGCUGACAUUUCUCUUCUACUAAGGCGCAGGAUCAGUUUUUGGGACGAAAGAAUUUAAGAUUUUCUGGUACGGUUUCUGUAAUUUCAUCAAUCUUUUAGUCAUGGGUUUUCCCCGUUUUAUCUAAAAUUCAACAUUUUCUUUAUUUUUCACACCUUUUUUCCAUGAUUUGCAGGAUUUUGGUGAAAGGGUAAUAAAAAUUGAACCGAUGAUUCGAACGGAAACUUUAGUUCCUGCUCUAACCAAAUUCAAAACCAUAUUUCCAGCUGGAGGAAAAUUGGGUAAUUUUUCAAUGUUAUGCUUUCUUUAUGUACGAGCACUAAUUAUAAAAUUACGUACAUAACAAAUACUCACUCCACUUUAUUUAGAUUUUUUUCUAGAUACAAGUUUAUAUGUUAAUUUGACUUAUAUUAUAUUAGUGGUUGUAGAGAAUAUGUCUAACUAAUAUGUUCGUACGUUCCAAUUUAUGUGACACUAUUUUCCUAUUAGUCCAUUCCAGGAAAUGACAUAUUUCUAUAUUUGGAUAUAAUUUAAUCAUUUAACUUUAAACUAAUUUUAUGUACCCAAAUAUUGUGGCAGUUUAAGAUUACAAGUUUCAAAAGUCUUCAUUUCUUUAUUAAACCUGUUGCAGAAUCAAACUGCGUCACAUAAGUUGGAACAGAGUGAGUAUGACAAGUCAGUUUGGUAGAAAAAUUGGCGCGGAAAUGUUUAAAAUAUG